UAUACAUUGACCUCCCUCCUCAACGGACAGGCAAACCUGCAAAAAUGCUCAACCCUUUCUCGCAUUCGAGAAGGCACCCUCAACAUAACCUCUCGAAAUACUCAGCUUUAUUUCCCCCCGAUAAUACCUCAGCAAAUAAGCCACACCAAGAACAAGAGUAUUCUCAUAUCAUCAGGGUCGAAAGCAAGAGUAUCCCAUAUCAUGCUUUCUCCCUGUCUUUGUCUUUGUCCUUGUCCACACCUGCAGGACAAGGAGAAAGAGAGCAGUCAGUCGGAAU
rnacentral:lncRNA from 1 species